CGUGAAAUAGUGCAGAAGGAUUAUUCUCUCCGUAUGUGUAUUGAGGUUCUUCACAUAAAUACUGCUUUUAAUUUGGACCUUUUGAUAUGAAUACAUUGUGACUCCUCAAACCAAAUUCUGUUUCCUGCCUUCCUCUCAAAAGCUGUUUUUCCUUCCUCUGUCUCUGUAAAUUUCACCCCAAUCCUUCUAGAUGCUCAGGCUGGAAACAUUACAAUUGCACUCGGCUUCCAGAUGGACUCUCUACCCCAUCAUCCAGCUCUGCUCUCUCAUCUUCAAAGUGCAUCAUCGAGUGGUCCUCCUCAUGUCUGCUCGGACAGUCCAGCCUAAGUUUCCAGGCCCUCCUCAACUGUUGAAACCGCUGGUUGUUCCACCUACUUUCUCCUUUGUAUUUCAGAAGUCCACUUUUUAAAAAUCUUACAUCCCAGAGGAACUUUAAAACUAACCACCACCAACCAACACCACCAACAAAAAAGGGCAGUCCAAAGGUAAAUUUCAAAGACGAUCCAUGUCGCAAAAACAGGAGAAGGUGAAAAUUACACCUUGUCUUUUCCUGGGGAGAGUGGGGGAGGAAGCAAGUUCUCAUCAGGACCUUCCCAUCCUACAGUCUGACACCAUUCUGCUCCAAGCCUGUAUCUUAUCCUGUCACUGUCCAAGCCCAGUCCAGUGUCGCACACAGGCUUCCUCCCCUGCAGUAACUGCCCUAAGGCAUCUGCAGGUUGACUGCCUCGUUUUUCUCCUAUCAGACAUGCCUUCUCUCAUUAUCCCUAUCUGCCAUUCUUAAUUCAGAGCUACGUCUAUCUUUAUUCAUAGCAGUUAUCACUAUGCAAUGUAAUGGGCUUUCUCUGUUUUUCCUUUCUAGAGCAAAAGUUUAAUGAGGGAAGAAGCUGUUCCCUUUGCUCAUGGCUACAUCUCCAGUGCCUGCUGUAGAAAGGAGAUAGUUAAGAAACACAGUGACUGAAUGGGGGUUAUUUCAUAUAUUGGAUAUGUAUUUAUCAUACACAGUCUACAUUGACUAUCAAACCUGUAGAGCAAAAAUAUAAAACUAAACCACUUAAUAAAGAUUUAUGGGAAGAAGUAAUGUGUAAUAAACUGAACAAUAAAGGAAAAUUUACACGUUAGAAUUUAAAUAAAGAAACACAAACUCCAAAGUAUACUUAAGUAUGCAUUUACAAAGGUAGGCUUAAAAAGGUUUUCCUUUUGAUUUUUUUGUUUUUGAGACAAUUGUCCUCAAGUUUUCAAUUCUCCUGCCUCAGCGUCUCUAAUUCUGGGGUUACAAGAAAGUACCAACAUCAUACUCUGCUGAUAUUUAAUUUACAAACCCUACUCUAAAAAUAUUGAAUUUUAAAUUCAUGAGAACAUUUUAUAAAAUACAUUUUGUUGCCAUGCUUAAUACAAUGGUAAUUUGUUCAUACAUUUUCUUAGUGUCACUAGAUACCAGAUUUAUUUAAAAACUAAAGAGACACCAACCAGACAUGAUGAAACACCCCGACAAUCAUAAUGCUUAGGUGGUGGGUUAAGAGGCUCACGAGUUGGAGGGCAGGCUAGGCUAUAAAGUGAGAUAAUUCAAAAUAAAUUUGAAGUAAAGACGCUAGAAAUAUGAUUUUCAAGUGAGGAUUUGUAAUCUGUUACCUGCAGGGAAAUCCAUAUCUGUGCAGUAUUUAAAAAGCCCUUAUUCGUGUAUUUACUUAAAGGGACAAUGGUAUGUAACAUUUAAAAUCAGGAAAGAGUAUUGUUAAAACCAAAGCAAUCAUUUUGAUAAUACUUUUAGAAUUCUUACAUUUUGAAAAUGUUAUAUUUUUAUUACUAUCCUCUAUUCUAGCAGAACUUGUCAAGAAAAGCAAAUAACACUUAGUAAGAAUUGAUAGCUCAUGCCAAAAAUGAGAGAAGAAUAUGUCAAGGAAUAUGACAAGCAAUAGACCAUGAACAAGAAGAAGCAGAUUCCACAUCCUAUCAGGUGCAGUUCAGUGAGAGAAGGAGGGAGACCUGGAACAUGCAAACAGAUGCUGGCUCAGCCGAGAGGCAUCAUACACACAGAACGUCUUUCCAUGGGGACGCAUACUGUCGAUUUCUAAAAACCAUUUCAAAUCAUCUUGGGCUUCAUCUUUUUCCUUCUUUCUUUUUAUGAUAACAAAUACACACUUUAAAGGGAUGUGACACUUGACUGCUUCUACCUGAGAGGGACUUAGAUAAAAUUAUGAACUCUUUACAUCACGUGAUAGAUUUUUUUUUUUUUUUCUGUUGGUACCCGGAGGAUGGAAGUCACACGCCGAAGCCCUUACUGCUCUUUCCACUUGUGUCAGUGGGCUCACACUGCUGCUGUUUUAUGAACAAUUGGGGUGUCGGACAAAAUGAGGAGGUGAACAUUGGAAUUGUAAUGGAAGGUUUCUGCAUCAGUGUUAUCAGCGAAGUCUGUAUAUAAAUGGAAGCAGAUAUGUCAUUUACAAGUAUUCGUCAUAACAAGCACUGGUGUACUGUGCUGAUGUUGGGCCUUUGACGUGACUUCUCUGUAAGUGUUGGAUGCCUCUGCACCAUGACUGUGCAGCAAUGGCAAAAACGUACAAUGUAAGUGGUUCUCAACCUUCCCAGUGCUGUGACCCUUUAAUACAGUUCCUCAUGUUGUGGUGACCUCCAACCACACAAUUAUUUUCAUCGCUACUUCAUAACUGUAAUUUUGUUACUGUUACAAAUUGUAAUGUAAAUAGCUGUGUUUUCUGAUGGUCUUAGGUGACCACUGUGAAAGAAAUGUCACAACCCAUGGGUUGAGAACCUCUGGCUUACACGGCCCUACUACAUCCAGACUGUUUCUUUGUAAGAGGGCUGUGAAGAGCCCUAUAAUAAGUAACCUGACAUUCGUAGAGACCUGGAUAAAUAAUCUGGCAUCCCAAGGGCCACUAAACUCUCAACAAUACUUCAUGAAUGGUUGCUAUUUCCAAAGAUUUAGUAAUGUAAAUAAUAAGCAAUAUUUGAAUUUAUUUUCAUUUUUUUUGUGUCUGCUAUGUGUUUAUAUAGGACUGUGUGUUUAUAUGGCUGUUGAAAAUUCAGUGUUCCACUGUAAAGAAUAACAACAGUUUCAAAGAACACAGUAAAUGGAUGCAUGUAGAUCUAGUACCUGGUUGAAGUAAGUUUUACUUUUCUUUGUCUAUAAAGACACAUAAUAAGGAAAUAACAGAUUUCAUUGCUAUAAAAUUUGCAUUACACAUACCAAAUUAUGUUAAUGAUUGUAUUUAUUGCUAUAAUUCUUAUAUGUUGGUUUUAAAAUUAUUAAGGUUGUUUGUAGAUGAAUGCUUUAAUUAUCAGAUACUAUGAAAACAUGAAGAAAUAAAUAAAUAAGCAAACUUC